UGCUGCCUAUGGGACGCAGCAGUGAGGAAUAUUGGUCAAUGGACGAGAGUCUGAACCAGCCAAGUAGCGUGAAGGAUGACUGCCCUAUGGGUUGUAAACUUCUUUUAUAUGGGAAUAAAGUGAGCCACGUGUGGCUUUUUGUAUGUACCAUACGAAUAAGGAUCGGCUAACUCUGUGCCAGCAGCUGCGGUAAUACGGAGGAUCCGAGCGUUAUCCGGAUUUAUUGGGUUUAAAGGGAGCGUAGGCGGAUUAUUCAGUCAGUUGUGAAAGUUUGCGGCUCAACCGUAAAAUUGCAGUUGUUACUG
rnacentral:rRNA from 1 species